rnacentral:RNase_P_RNA from 1 species
AGACUUGACUUGGCAAUCGCUGUCGCAUUCUUAACGGCAGAGGAAAGUCCGGACUCCACAGGACAGGACGCCGGGUAACACCCGGGAGGUUAUCCGUAAUGGAUGAUCUACGGAAAGUGCCGCAGAAAAGAUACCACCUUGUGGCCCCCAAAGGCUACAGGGAAAGGGUGAAAAGGCAGGGUAAGAGCCUACCGCAUCCAUGGUAACAUGGAUGGCAUGGUAAACCCCGUCCGGAGCAAGGCCAAGCAGAAGGCGAUCUCACCCCUUUGUGGGUGGGUCAAGGGCUGUCCGUCCGAUGUUUUCGGGUAGGCCGCUCGAGGUGAGGAGAGAUUCUCAUCCCAGAUAAAUGAUUGCCUUCGGUUUAUUGAAAUUGUUACAAUGAGUUUUCACAAAAUGAUAAAAUUGCUAAAAAAUAUUAACUGCCCACCGGGUACAUAGUACCCGAACCAAUUUUUAUACCUUUUUGUGACUGCACGUCGUAAAAUUUCUCUAACCGAAACAGAAUCCGGCUUAGGAGUCAGGUCUAUAU